GACUUCGGUGAUUAGCGGCCUAGGACGUCACCCUCUCAAGGUGAAGAUCGCGGGUUCGAAUCCCGCUGGGGUCACCA
rnacentral:tRNA from 1 species